UACGGAGGGUGCGAGCGUUGUUCGGAUUUACUGGGCGUAAAGCGCACGUAGGCGGACUCUUAAGUCGGUGGUGAAAUCCUGGAGCUCAACUCCAGAACUGCCUUCGAUACUGAGAGUCUUGAGUCCGGGAGAGGUGAGUGGAACUGCGAGUGUAGAGGUGAAAUUCGUAGAUAUUCGCAAGAACACCAGUGGCGAAGGCGGCUCACUGGCCCGGUACUGACGCUGAGGUGCGAAAGCGUGGGGAGCAAACAGG
rnacentral:rRNA from 1 species